AUUCUACUCCCCCUGUUGCACAAUACAUGCCUUCUAUUUGUAAAAAUAUAUAUGUAUCUAGACAUGUUUUAGUAUAUAGGUACAUCCAUUUUUGGACAAAUGGAAGUCAAGUGGUUUUGGAACGGAGGGAGUACACA
rnacentral:pre_miRNA from 1 species